rnacentral:rRNA from 1 species
GAAGGUGGCCUGUGAGGGUUGCUGGAGGUAUCAGAAGUGCGAAUGCUGACAUAAGUAACGAUAAAGCGGGUGAAAAGCCCGCUCGCCGGAAGACCAAGGGUUCCUGUCCAACGUUAAUCGGGGCAGGGUGAGUCGACCCCUAAGGCGAGGCCGAAAGGCGUAGUCGAUGGGAAACGGGUUAAUAUUCCCGUACUUGGUGUUACUGCGAAGGGGGGACGGAGAAGGCUAUGUUGGCCGGGCGACGGUUGUCCCGGUUUAAGCGUGUAGGUGUGUGUUCCAGGUAAAUCCGGUUCACUUUAACACUGAGGCGUGACGACGAGGCACUACGGUGCUGAAGCAACAAAUGCCCUGCUUCCAGGAAAAGCCUCUAAGCAUCAGGUAACAUCAAAUCGUACCCCAAACCGACACAGGUGGUCAGGUAGAGAAUACCAAGGCGCUUGAGAGAACUCGGGUGAAGGAACUAGGCAAAAUGGUGCCGUAACUUCGGGAGAAGGCACGCUGACAUGUAGGUGAAGUGAUUUACUCAUGGAGCUGAAGUCAGUCGAAGAUACCAGCUGGCUGCAACUGUUUAUUAAAAACACAGCACUGUGCAAACACGAAAGUGGACGUAUACGGUGUGACGCCUGCCCGGUGCCGGAAGGUUAAUUGAUGGGGUCAGCGCAAGCGAAGCUCCUGAUCGAAGCCCCGGUAAACGGCGGCCGUAACUAUAACGGUCCUAAGGUAGCGAAAUUCCUUGUCGGGUAAGUUCCGACCUGCACGAAUGGCGUAAUGAUGGCCAGGCUGUCUCCACCCGAGACUCAGUGAAAUUGAACUCGCUGUGAAGAUGCAGUGUACCCGCGGCAAGACGGAAAGACCCCGUGAACCUUUACUAUAGCUUGACACUGAACAUUGAGCCUUGAUGUGUAGGAUAGGUGGGAGGCUUUGAAGUGUGGACGCCAGUCUGCAUGGAGCCGACCUUGAAAUACCACCCUUUAAUGUUUGAUGUUCUAACGUGGACCCGUGAUCCGGGUUGCGGACAGUGUCUGGUGGGUAGUUUGACUGGGGCGGUCUCCUCCUAAAGAGUAACGGAGGAGCACGAAGGUUGGCUAAUCCUGGUCGGACAUCAGGAGGUUAGUGCAAUGGCAUAAGCCAGCUUGACUGCGAGCGUGACGGCGCGAGCAGGUGCGAAAGCAGGUCAUAGUGAUCCGGUGGUUCUGAAUGGAAGGGCCAUCGCUCAACGGAUAAAAGGUACUCCGGGGAUAACAGGCUGAUACCGCCCAAGAGUUCAUAUCGACGGCGGUGUUUGGCACCUCGAUGUCGGCUCAUCACAUCCUGGGGCUGAAGUAGGUCCCAAGGGUAUGGCUGUUCGCCAUUUAAAGUGGUACGCGAGCUGGGUUUAGAACGUCGUGAGACAGUUCGGUCCCUAUCUGCCGUGGGCGCUGGAGAACUGAGGGGGGCUGCUCCUAGUACGAGAGGACCGGAGUGGACGCAUCACUGGUGUUCGGGUUGUCAUGCCAAUGGCACUGCCCGGUAGCUAAAUGCGGAAGAGAUAAGUGCUGAAAGCAUCUAAGCACGAAACUUGCCCCGAGAUGAGUUCUCCCUGAGACUUAGAGUCUCCUGAAGGAACGUUGAAGACGACGACGUUGAUAGGCCGGGUGUGUAAGCGCAGCGAUGCGUUGAGCUAACCGGUACUAAUGAACCGUGAGGCUUAACCUUACAACGCCGAAG